UACGUAUGUCACGAGCGUUAUCCGGAUUUAUUGGGCGUAAAGCGCGUCUAGGUGGUUAUAUAAGUCUGAUGUGAAAAUGCAGGGCUCAACUCUGUAUUGCGUUGGAAACUGUAUAACUAGAGUCCCUCGCAGAGGUAAGCGGAACUACAAGUGUAGAGGUGAAAUUCGUAGAUAUUUGUAGGAAUGCCGAUGGGGAAGCC
rnacentral:rRNA from 1 species